UACGUAGGGCGCGAGCGUUGUCCGGAUUUAUUGGGCGUAAAGCGCUCGUAGGCGGCUUGUCGCGUCGUUCGUGAAAACCCACAGCUCAACUGUGGGCUUGCGGUCGAUACGGGCAGGCUGGAGUUCGGUAGGGGAGACUGGAAUUCCUGGUGUAGCGGUGAAAUGCGCAGAUAUCAGGAGGAACACCGGUGGCGAAGGCGGGUCUCUGGGCCGAUACUGACGCUGAGGAGCGAAAGCGUGGGGAGCGAACAGG
rnacentral:rRNA from 1 species